rnacentral:rRNA from 1 species
AACCUUUACACUGCACGACAGUGCGAUAGGGGGGCUCCGAGUGCGAGGGCAUAGAGCCCUCGCUUUUGUACACCGUAAGGUGGUGUACGAAUAAGAACUGGGCAAGACCGGUGCCAGCCGCCGCGGUAAUACCGGCAGUUCGAGUGAUGGCCGAUUUUAUUGGGCCUAAAGCGUUCGUAGCUGGCCGAUCAAGUCUGUCGGGAAAUCUGCUCGCCUAACGAGCAGGCGUCCGGCGGAAACUGAUCGGCUUGGGACCGGAAGACUCGAGGGGUACGUCCGGGGUAGGAGUGAAAUCCUGUAAUCCUGGACGGACCACCGAUGGCGAAAGCACCUCGAGAGCACGGAUCCGACAGUGAGGAACGAAAGCUGGGGUCUCGAACCGGAUUAGAUACCCGGGUAGUCCCAGCUGUCAACGAUGCCCGCUAGGUAUGGCGCAGGCUACGAGCCUGUGCUAUGCCGUAGCGAAGGCGCUAAGCGGGCCGCCUGGGAAGUACGUUCGCAAGAAUGAAACUUAA